UACAUCUUAAUAUUAGUUAAAUGAUAUAACAUAUAUAUCUAUGACAUGUAACAGUAGUUUCCAUAAGUUCAGAAGGUGGUCGUUUUGACUGAAACAUAUGAAGGAUGAAAAAUUAAAAGCAACUUUUUAUCAAUCUCACUGGACGAUGGUUACAAAUCUUAUAUGCAGUUAUAAAAGGCCUGUGUUUAAUCCACAUGCAGAUGAUCAAGAGUCUUCUGUAGGUAUACGAGAACUCAAAAGACACAUAGACUCAGCCAAUAAUAUCUGUUCAUGAAACUGUGUAAGACUGAACUUAGGCAUCUUUUUGGAGGUGGUGAUAAUGAUUUGAACCCAAAAUGAAUAUUAUCUGAAGUAUGAAUUGUAAUCCUGAUGUGUUACUAAUCUUCACUUAAGAAGGUACACAGACUGACUACAGGUGUUCCCAAACUUACAUUUUUCUUGAUAUCAGUAAUGUAUAACUGUAAGUUGACAACCUCAGUCACAUAUAUUCCAGCCACCUAAUUAUUUAAGACAGUUUCAGUAUGUUUUAGUCUUUGUUAGUAGAAAUUAACUUGAAAUCACAUUAUUACAGAAGUUGUUACUUUUGUGUAUUUCUUCAUGAAACAGGGAUUAUAAUUUAAAACAUGUACACCUACUCCAUUAGGUGCAUGAAGAAUAUGUUGUUCAGUUAGUGUGGUUACUUGCAAGGUUGGAAUUAUGUGUGGAGUUGAUUUUAGUUUAUAGCAUUCUCACUCAGAGCAGUCUUCUUAUGGUAAUUGAUGGUCAUUACUAUCUGUCCUUACCAUAGGUAAUUAAUUUUUCAGUAAAUGGUUUUCAAACAAAAGGUAUGACACACUUAUCAAAAGAAACUGAAGAUGUUGUUUCUUUAUUGGUCAGUAUCCUGUUGAAAAAGAUAAAAUAAAAUAGUUUUCUUUGGUGUAGUAUUUAAAUGUAUAUAAUCUUUGGGAAAAAUGAUAUAAAAAUGCUUAAAUUUCAUGAUAUGUUUGUAUUUCCUAACAGACUCAUUACUGUGAUGAAGACUUGUUCAAACAAAGCUCUGAGAAUUGCUUUCAUUAUGUAAUGUAAUUCAUCUGCACUGAUCACAGUUCAGUUUAAUCAGUACAGCACAAUUACUGUAUUGUUGUAGUGUGUCAAUAUUCCUUGUUCAUAAAUGGAAGUACAGUCAUCUACAAGCACCAGUGUUACUUGCAACAUUUGAGAUAUUCAUGGCAGUAAUCAUGAGGAAGUUGGAAGUGACGCUGUGUAGGUGGGUAGGAGUGAGCCAACAUUUUGGAGGAACGUACUGCCACCUUUGUAAGGGUAGACUUCUACUACAUACAUUCUAUCACAUCCUGACUUUUCCGCAAUAUUAUUGAGGACAAGUCUUCUGAAAUGUAAUGCUCUGUAAUUUGUUUUAACCAACAGUGCAGACAAAUAUACUUCCUCCAUCUUCAGGAUAGAAAAUUGAAGCUGAAGGCAUUGUGUACCUCUGAAAUGUCAUUAAACUUCUACAAACCUACACAGUAUCACAUCCCAUAUCAUCAGCCAAAUGAAACUGCUGUUUGUGGGUGACCUGAUUUCAUAUUGUGACUUCAAACAUCUGUACCUACAUAAUCUAAAUGUCUGAUAUCUGGAGUCAUCCUAAAGAUGGAGGCACACAUUGUUAGUAUCCACCUAUCAGACUGCAGCAUGGUGUGUUUCACCAGAACCCUGGUAUCCACCUGCCAGACUACAACACAGUGUAAUAGCACACAGCGUCCCCACCAAGGAACUUGAUUAUACAGCUUUCCAGUUUUGUCAGGAAGUUACAUCAAGGACUUGUAGCUGAAAUGGGAGAACACAAAUACUUUUCCCUUCCUUGCAUCCUGUCAUGUUAUAUACAAUUCUUUAUUGGAGUCCGUCAUAACACAACAACAUAAUGGUCAAGGUUAAAGUUACCUAGCUACAUGAUUACUAAUUGUCUGUAAUCAUGUGUUUUGCCUGAUGAUGGCUUUAAAAUGCCGAAGCAUAUAGCUGGGUAUUUUUAACCUUGACUGUUAUGUUAUUGUGUUAUGACGGACUCCAGUAAAAAAUUGGACACAAAUACGUACAAUAUUUUUGUUGGAACAUGCUGGAAAGCAUCCACUUGGGAAAGCAAAAGUGGUGGAAGAAAAAUAUCAAACCAGAUCUUGACAAAACUGGGUAUAUGACUGUGGAUCAUGAUGUGUCCACUGGUGGGCUCUGGUAUUAGCAGCUUUCAUCCUGGAAGGGUAUGCUGAAAAGUAAUGCCUCCAUAAGACAGUGGCGAAAAUGUGGUUCCGUCCUGCCACACUUGCAGAAGUACAGGUACUCCUUGGUAUAUGCAAGUUUGAAACAUGUUUCAUUUUAAUGCAGUCAAUUAAUUUAGACCUGUAACACUUGCUUUAGUAUGAACUGCUUGCUGGCCCAUCAAGAGAGGUCAGAAGAAGGGUGAAUUAGGAUGAUGUGCAUGAAUGAAAUUGCUGUUAUGGAAAAGAAAUCGGGAGUCAUUACUUUCAGCAUGCCCUUGUACAAGCUCUGUCACCAGGAGAAGACAUACACUUCCCAAUGAUAUAUCCCACAUUGUGAAAUUGGAAAUUUCAUAAUGUUAAUUGAAAUCCAUAUUUAAAUAUUUGUUGCUUGACCUCCAGUGGUGUCCUGUGUACAGAGCACACUUGCAUUGUAUCACAUCACUACGUGAAACACAGAAUACCUAUGGCAGCCAUAACUUCUGUCUCUAACAGUGAUAUUAUAUCAAAAGUGCCAGUUUUUUAUUGCAGUUGAGAAAAAAGAAAAUGCUACAAGCUGUCUAUUCAUAUAUGGGUAGUCACAUUUUGAAAUUUCUGUGGCAUGUAACAAAUACUGUGUACGUCUGAAAUAAAAUUACCCUACUUUACCUUUUA